GGAAAACUCUCAGUAUCUCUUGGUCUAAUAAGAAACUUGUAACAUCUGUGUGUGGAAGGCCACCUGAGAAAAGCCUUGCCUGUUUGAAGGGGAAGAUGGGAAACAAAUAGAAAACAAGUAUGAAGGAAGGUGGGAAAUAAGUGCCUCAACUUUGCUUGUUUUUCUUUUUUCUUUCUGUAUCUCCUGCCAGUGGCACAAUCAGAAGCCACAGGGUGAGGAAGGUGUUGGAGAUCAGGAGCUCUUUCAGGUAGUCAUUUUAGUUCAGUUUCUCAGGACACAGAGCAGGGUGGAGAAGAAUGGAUACUGGAUCCGGAGAGACAAAUGGAAAUCCUCCAGCACAACAUUAGAGGCAGUAUUAAACAGAAAAGAGGUAUGGUGGAAUGAUUGA
rnacentral:lncRNA from 13 species